rnacentral:rRNA from 1 species
AGAGUUUGAUCAUGGCUCAGGAUGAACGCUAGCUACAGGCUUAACACAUGCAAGUCGAGGGGAAACGAUAUUGGAAGCUUGCUUCCGAUAGGCGUCGACCGGCGCACGGGUGAGUAACGCGUAUCCAACCUGCCCACCACUUGGGGAUAACCUUGCGAAAGUAAGACUAAUACCCAAUGAUAUCUCUAGAGGACAUCUGAAAGAGAUUAAAGAUUUAUCGGUGAUGGAUGGGGAUGCGUCUGAUUAGCUUGUUGGCGGGGUAACGGCCCACCAAGGCAACGAUCAGUAGGGGUUCUGAGAGGAAGGUCCCCCACAUUGGAACUGAGACACGGUCCAAACUCCUACGGGAGGCAGCAGUGAGGAAUAUUGGUCAAUGGACGAGAGUCUGAACCAGCCAAGUAGCGUGCAGGAAGACGGCCCUAUGGGUUGUAAACUGCUUUUAUAAGGGAAUAAAGUGAGAGUCGUGACUCUUUUUGCAUGUACCUUAUGAAUAAGGACCGGCUAAUUCCGUGCCAGCAGCCGCGGUAAUACGGAAGGUCCGGGCGUUAUCCGGAUUUAUUGGGUUUAAAGGGAGCGUAGGCCGGAGAUUAAGCGUGUUGUGAAAUGUAGACGCUCAACGUCUGCACUGCAGCGCGAACUGGUUUCCUUGAGUACGCACAAAGUGGGCGGAAUUCGUGGUGUAGCGGUGAAAUGCUUAGAUAUCACGAAGAACUCCGAUUGCGAAGGCAGCUCACUGGAGCGCAACUGACGCUGAAGCUCGAAAGUGCGGGUAUCAAACAGGAUUAGAUACCCUGGUAGUCCACACCGUAAACGAUGGAUACUAGGUGUAGGGUGUGAUAAACAUUCUGUGCCGUCGCAAACGCAGUAAGUAUCCCACCUGGGGAGUACGGCCGCAAGGUUGAAACUCAAAGGAAUUGACGGGGGCCCGCACAAGCAGUGGAGUAUGUGGUUUAAUUCGACGCACCGCGAAGAACCUUACCAGGGCUUGACAUAUACAUGAAUGUCUAAGAGAUUAGACCCCUCUUCGGAGCGUGUAUACAGGUGGUGCAUGGUUGUCGUCAGCUCGUGUCGUGAGAUGUUGGGUUAAGUCCCGCAACGAGCGCAACCCCUGUUCUUAGUUACCAGCGAGUUAAGUCGGGAACUCUAAGAAGACUGCCGGUGAUAAAUCGGAGGAAGGUGGGGACGACGUCAAAUCAUCAUGCCCUUUAUGUCCUGGGCUACACACGUACUACAAUGGCUGUAACAAAGGGAAGCUAAGCCGCGAGGUGGAGCAAAACCCAAAAAAGCAGUCUCAGUUCGGAUUGAAGGCUGAAAUUCGCCUUCAUGAAGCCGGAAUUGCUAGUAAUGGCAGGUCAGCAUACUGCCGUGAAUACGUUCCCGGGCCUUGUACACACCGCCCGUCACACCAUGAGAGUUGGGAAUACCCGAAGCCUGUGAGCUAACUUUUAGAGGCAGCAGUCGAAGGUAGAAUCAAUGAUUGGGGUGAAGUCGUAACAAGGUA